CAGUCGCCGCGGGAAUACGAAGGGUGCAAGCGUUACUCGGAAUUACUGGGCGUAAAGCGUGCGUAGGCGGUGGUUUAAGUCCGUUGUGAAAGCCCUGGGCUCAACCUGGGAAUUGCAGUGGAUACUGGGUCACUAGAGUGUGGUAGAGGAUAGUGGAAUUUCCGGUGUAGCGGCGAAAUGCGUAGAGAUCUGGAGGAAUACCGGUGGCGAAGGCGGCCAUCUGGGACAACACUGACGCUGAGGCACGAAAGCGUGGGGAGCAAACAGGAUUAGAUACCCCCGUAGUCCCUGUCUCUUAUAC
rnacentral:rRNA from 1 species